UACGUAGGUGGCAAGCGUUGUCCGGAAUUACUGGGUGUAAAGGGAGCGCAGGCGGGUGCGCAAGUUGGAAGUGAAACUCAUGGGCUCAACCCAUGACCUGCUUUCAAAACUGCGCGUCUUGAGUGGUGUAGAGGUAGGCGGAAUUCCCGGUGUAGCGGUGGAAUGCGUAGAUAUCGGGAGGAACACCAGUGGCGAAGGCGGCCUACUGGGCACUAACUGACGCUGAGGCUCGAAAGCAUGGGUAGCAAACAGG
rnacentral:rRNA from 1 species